rnacentral:rRNA from 1 species
GUGAGGUGGAGCAAAACUCAAAAACUUAGUCUCAGUUCGGAUUGUAGGCUGAAACUCGCCUACAUGAAGCUGGAGUUGCUAGUAAUCGCGAAUCAGCAUGUCGCGGUGAAUACGUUCCCGGGCCUUGUACACACCGCCCGUCACACCAUGAGAGUUGGCAAUACCCAACGUACGUGAUCUAACCCGCAAGGGAGGAAGCGUCCUAAGGUAGGGUCAGCGAUUGGGGUGAAGUCGUAACAAGGUACC